rnacentral:lncRNA from 10 species
CUUCGGGAGAGCGGGCAGUUCUAGGAGGCCGACCUGGAGAGCCUCCCGGUUCCCCUUCCCCUUUUCCCGGACCCCGCGGGGACACCCCCUCGCCGCCACCCGGGCCUCCCCGAGGGCCCAACUGCGGGUCAGGCGGCCCGGGCCAGCCGAAAGGGAAGUGGGGCUACCCCACAGCCAGGCAGCGGGGCUGGGGUCAGACCCGGGAGCCGGAGGUUGGAGACGUGCGACAGUCACCUGCGGGCAGAUUCCAGAGGGGAGACCCAGGGCUGCAGGGGACGCCCCUUCGUGGCAGCUACCCAGCCUCGGCCCACUGCCAGUGUUACGUGGCUGCAUGACCAUACACUUCUGGGUAGAGCCCAGUGGAAGACAAAGAAGACUCAAGGAAUAGCCCUUGAGGUAAUGGAUGAGAAAGUGCUUUGUAAAUUACAAUGCUCUGACACAAGUCAAGUUCAUUCAUCCAUUCCAUAAACCUCUGCCGAGAGCCUGCUUUUGCCAGGCACAGGGCGAAGUGCUGGAAGACAGAAGUGCUGGGUGAAUCCUGCAGGGGGAGAUGGCCAAGGCAAUCGGCAUGGAGCCCCCAGGGCUCAGGAGCUAUACAGAUGGGAUAGAGGGUGUGAGUGCUGGGAAGCCCCAUCCAUGGCUCGCUGGAGAUUAGAGGCCUGUUAAUCUGAAGACAAAGGAAUGAAGACGAAAACGUUUCUGAAAAUGUGGGUGGAGACACCUGGGCCUUUACAGGGUACGCUCCAGAGCUGCUUCCAGGCAGGGACCCCGGCUGAGAGAAGCCAGAGCCAGAGAGUCGCAGGCUUGCUUGCUCUUAUCUUCCCUCUGCUGGGGGGGUCGAGGGGAGAUCUGGCCCCUCUGCUCUGCCCUCCUGAUUUCCCGUCUAAGGGAUUUAGGAGACUUUUGCCUUUUCCUAAUCUCUCCCUUUGCAGAAUUUCUGCGAAGUCACAAUCCCAUUUCCAGGCAAAGGUGCUUGGUCAUAAAGAUAAUAAAGAUAUUCAUUCAUGAUGGAGGGGAAGUACACAGUGGUUUCAGCUGCCUGUAGGGCUCCACUUACUCAUGGUGUGUGACAGAUGCUGAGCCCUUCCCCAAAUC